rnacentral:hammerhead_ribozyme from 1 species
GUAUUACUGAAGAGUCCCAAACUAGGACGGAACAGCUGUUCAGUAC